rnacentral:lncRNA from 1 species
GAGCUUCCCACCCUUCCUCAUUGGGUUUCUGCAAGCCCUCCCCAACCCCAGCACUCUGCAGGGCCUGGGAAGUGAACCAGAGCUGGGAGGAUUCUUAGAGAAGAAAAGUGCUGAUUUAAGAGAAACUGCAUUAUUUGUGAAAUACAAAAUUCAUUUUGUGGGUGUAAGAGAUGUCUUUGUGGACGGAUGAAGUUCCUGGUACUAAUUAGCAGGGGAGUGCAGUGAAGCUGCUGUGUUCUCCAGCUCUUAGUUAAGGGCCAGUCAGGAUCAGACAUUUUGCCCUGAUGGAAAAGAAGAUGAACAGAUACCUCCUGACCUGGAUAGCAAUUAAUUCUGGGGACCUAGAUCCCCAAGGACUUUAGGAUGAGGCAGCAGUUUGGAUUUAGGAUCAACAUGGUAUUUAAAAUAUAAAAGCAUUGUAGUGUUGGGGAAGCAUCAUUUAAAAGAACUU